UACGGGGGGGGUAAGCGUUGUUCGGAAUUACUGGGCGUAAAGGGCUCGUAGGCGGCCAACUAAGUCGGACGUGAAAUCCCUCAGCUUAACUGGGGAACUGCGUCCGAUACUGGAUGGCUUGGAUUUGGGAGAGGGAUGCAGAAUUCCAGGUGUAGCGGUGAAAUGCGUAGAUAUCUGGAGGAAUACCGGUGGCGAAGGCGGCAUCCUGGACCGACAUUGACGCUGAACGGCGAAAGCUAGGGGAGCAAACGGG
rnacentral:rRNA from 1 species